GAUGAACGCUGGCGGCGUGCCUAAUACAUGCAAGUCGAGCGAACAGACGAGGAGCUUGCUCCUCUGACGUUAGCGGCGGACGGGUGAGUAACACGUGGAUAACCUACCUAUAAGACUGGGAUAACUUCGGGAAACCGGAGCUAAUACCGGAUAAUAUAUUGAACCGCAUGGUUCAAUAGUGAAAGACGGUUUUGCUGUCACUUAUAGAUGGAUCCGCGCCGCAUUAGCUAGUUGGUAAGGUAACGGCUUACCAAGGCAACGAUGCGUAGCCGACCUGAGAGGGUGAUAGGCCACACUAGAACGGGGACACGGUCCAGAGUCCUACGGGAGGGAGCAGUAGGGUAUCUUCCGCAAUGGGCGAAAGCUUGACGGAGCAACGGCGCGUGAGUGAUGAAGGUCUUCGGAUCGUAAAACUCUGUUAUUAGGGAAGAACAAAUGUGUAAGUAACUAUGCACGUCUUGACGGUACCUAGUCAGAAAGCAACGGCUAACUACGUG
rnacentral:rRNA from 1 species